rnacentral:lncRNA from 1 species
UAAAGCUGGAAAAAAAAAUUGGUCUAUUUAAAAGUAAAACAAUAUUUUAAAAUAAUUUUUGUUUGCAAUGCAAAAAUCAAUAUAAAUCUUGUGACGCGCGGUGUUCAACUUUAGUCAGCGCCAGGCGCUUACCGAGGAGGGACGUAUCGCUCGCUGUUGCGCCGCGUAAACUCGCCGGAGUUCGAAAAAUAUAGCGCAACCUACGCAUCUAACACGUUUUGAUACUAGAUAAUGAAAGCAUAUUUAAUUCAGACUAUCAGACUCAAUUGAAUACCAGUACAAAUAAUAUGGAAAAUGAAGAUACAAUACAUGGAAGACGAAUUAUAGAUUUUAGUUUUUUUAUAAAUCAAUUACUUAUAAUUGAUAAACAUGGUGAAAAGUUUGGUUGUCGAUUAAAUAAUUUAAAAAUUGUAAACGAUUACUUGUUUAUGUAACUCAAUCGAGCUAUUCUAGGUGAUAAAAUUCAUCGGUACAAAUAAUAUUUCAUAAACUAUAAAAACAAUAAAUUAUUUCGGAAAAAAGUGGCAAAGUCUCAAGUUUGUUUGUGCCGCGUGGCGGUCCGCAGGUGUGCGUUGCGUAUUUCACUAGACGCACACAUGCGCAAGUGCUGCCGGCUAUCGUCUAAUUUACCUACAACUGAGCAAUUCGAUUUUGUAAUAGCGCUCUUAAG